rnacentral:lncRNA from 1 species
CCCGCUAACAUGUUUAACCCCGCCACAUUAUUUAUGUAUGUGCCUGUCCCAAGUCAGGAGCUUGUAAUUCAGUGGUUGUCGUUUGUUUAUGUGUUACAUAUUUGUUUUUCGUUCAUUUUUUUUACAUAAAUAAGGCCGUUAGUUUUCUCGUUUGAAUUGUUUUACAUUGUCUUAUCGGGGCCUAUUGUAGCUGACUAUGCGGUAUGGGCUUUGCUCAUUGUUGAAGGCCGUACGGUGACCUAUAGUUGUUAAUUUCUGUGUCAUUUUGGUCUUUUGUGGAUAGUUG